AGGGGGGAAUAUACACAAUUUUGGAGGAUUUGGAGAGGAAGAACAAGGCAAAAACAAGGCAAUGCACUUCAAGAUUCAAGAUUUCACUUCAAGAAUCAAUUGGGUGAUGUUCUUCCUUGGUUUUAAUUAUUGUUUUUCUUUAUUUCCCAUUAUGUUAGGCUAGAUUUUCAUGUGCUAGGAUUUGCGAUGAACCUUAUAUUAUGAACCCU
rnacentral:lncRNA from 1 species